UGGGGCGUGGGGUAACCCGGCAGCCCGGCGGAUUCUGGUUCCGCUAGUCCUGGUUCGAAUCCAGGCGCCCCAG
rnacentral:tRNA from 1 species